UCUCCGUUGGUGAACCAGCGGAGGGAUCAUUACAAAGUUGCAAAACUACCAAACCAUGGUGAACUUUACCUAUCCGCUUGCUUCGGCCGGCGCCCCGGGCCCCGACCCCCGCACCCCCCGGCCCCCCGUGGGCGCCCGCCGGAGGUAAACCCAAUCCUUGAAUUGCAUGGCAUCUCUGAGUCUUCUGUACUGAAUAAGUCAAAACUUUCAACAACGGAUCUCUUGGUUCUG
rnacentral:misc_RNA from 1 species